UUCCUCAUUUAUUAUCCUCCUAAAAUUGUUGUCAUAAUGCAAUUAUGUAAAUGAAGACUUGCAAUCACACUGAGUAUUUGUUCCGGUUUUGAGCCAAAUACUUAUUAGAUCAGAGCAGUUUAAGGAAAACAAGAACUCACCACCAACAGAAUUCAUGGAACGUGAAAGAGCAUGAGAAAUUCCCAUUGGAACGGUUCCCAACAUGCUGCAUAAAUAAAGAAGUUAUAGUAUUGUAUGCAACACAUAUGUUCAUGGAGUUCUGUGUGAAGAGACUGAAGAAAUACACAGCAAAGAGGAAAUAUGUUGAAUCAUUUCUCAGCACUCCUGAGUUUUGCAAUUGGCAUGUCCUGCGUUAUUUUCAGAGUCUAUUAUGGUUUAACAAGUACUGCUCUGGGUAGCCUAAAAUUCCUGAGUUCCAGUAACCCUCCUGCAUCAGCCUCCUGCAUACUGGUACCACAGGUAUACACCUCAGAUGGCUUCAUAUUUGAACUCAAACUACAG